UAUAACUAGAUAAAACAGAAUUAAGUUACUUGUAGAUAUAAAUACAUGGGGCUAUACAAUAAAGUUGACACACUUUUUCCGCUAGGAGGUGACCCCUAACCCCUAGAAGGCUAAACCCUAACCCCUAACUCGUGCUAAUCAAACAAAAAAAAACUUAAAAAAAAAAAAAAAAAGUAUUAUACUGUGCGGGACUCGAACCCGGUAAAAAUGAAACAAAGAGAGUAAAUGACCACGUGCAAACCGUUACACCACAGCCUCACCGAUAUGGAAAAGAUGUUCUUACUAGUGUUUUAUGUAUUUAGAAAGGUAUUAUUAUUAUUUAAUUAAUUUGUUUUACACUUAUUAACACUUUGUAGCGUUGUUUUGAGCGUUUCUAUAGAUUUUUUAAUUUAAAUAAUUACCGACACCUAGCGGAAAAGGUGUACCUACUUCUUCGUAUAGUCCCAUGUGAUAUAAAUUGAUAUAUGCAUAGGGAUAGGCCAAUUAAGUACACGCAUAAUAGAUGAGUUACUCUAGAAUUUUUUGCCCAAAGAUUGUACGAUAAGGUAAAUUCGUAAAUAUUAGGAUUUUUUUUCACAAAAGAAAAACGCAACAAAAACCGGGCAAGUUUGUUUAAACCUACUGCGAUAGUCACUGAUUUUGCUAUCUUUUGCUCUUUCAGACACACAGUAACAGACCGCAAACUCACAACUCACAAGGCGGCAGCUGGACGAUUGGGUGUCUCUAUGACUGGCUUAAAAGUGCCAAUCAAACUGCAAAACUGCUGCAGUUGUCGAAACCACUUUUGGUCAUAAAGAAAACCGUUGUUCCUCUUCUUCAGUAUUAAGGGUAAAACAACAACAAUUCCAGAGGCACUUUCUUACUUCUGUUAAACUGUUGGCAUCACUAACAAAUUAGUUAAGAAUUAAACGACAAAACAAAAGAGAAAAGCUCUAAUGAAUAAGCACGUAUUGCAAUUAGCAUAACUUAAAUUAACCUUUUUUACUAACACAGUUGAUUAAGUUUCGGUCGCCAUCUAUGAUCGUGUAUCAGUAAAUUCAAUUAACUCAACUUUGCGCCGUGUGUUGAUCUGUAAACUUACAAUAGUUAACCUGUUAAAAAAGUAUGUUUUUUUUGCGUUUUUGUAAAAGUAAACAUAUUUUAAUCACUCUGUAAUUAAUUCGACGAUUAAGGACCUAUAUGACCACUUACGUGCUCAGUUAUACAGCACUAAAGCACACACAGGGCAACCGAAAAAUGUGGUGAAUUCAACCCCGCCGCGUUAAUAAUUUGAUUAGCAGACGCUCCCACUUUUUCGUUGAUUCCCCGGACAUGUAAAACGUCGUCCUUACAACACGUUGCAACUGAACACAGCAGUUUGGAAGCAGCGACAAAGCUACACUGUAUGAACUUAUUUCAGGAUUAUGUUUGUUUCUUUAACAAGAGUUGAAGUUAAGUACUAUUGCUACUGUUUAGUUUUACCUAAUUAUAAGCUAUGUUUUUGUUUAUUAUUUAGUGUUACUUAGUUACAAUGUAGUAUGAGUAUUAUAUAUUUAUGUGUAAACCCUAUUAAAUUUAUUUUAAUAUUGUGGCUUGCGAUAAGGUAUUCUCAUUUCAUAUUUCAGGCAUUUCGCUACGUUUCUUAAUUUUGUCACAAUACAAGUCACUCGCGCCGUUACAUCGAUUUACACGAUCGCCGCGUUACGACACAAUACGUCUGUACGACAUCGCCCGCUAUUAUUACGUCAUAGUCAGCUUCACGCCCGAGAGCACAGGUUUGCGACGUCACAUUGCGGUUUCUUCUAUUCGCUCUGGCUUUUCGCGGCAUUUUUUCAUGGGGCCCCAUGCGCGCUUUGCUUUGUCGCAAGACACACAUUACUUAUAUGCUUUCAUAUUAAUUUUACUCUAAAAUAUAUAUUCGUGCUGUUAGCAUAAAAUGAAACAUGAAGAUCAAAGAUUUGGUAAAGUAUAAAUCACAAUUGGCAUUAUUACGUACACCGGGUCUUUUUCAGAUUACAUAGAUGUGACGUCACGAAGUGGUGAUGACGCAACAGAAGAACCCACUUCAACUUGGUAUGUGACGUCACAGAGGACAGAACGCGAAUCGGGAAUGAAGAUAAGCCAGCGUAUAUACUGCAGAAGAAAAGCGUAAGAAGAACAGCAAAGGCGAAGACGACGAAUAAGGAUAUGCCGAUUUGCGAGGUUUUGUUUAGGCUUAGGAGUUGUGUGUUGUUGGGGCGUGAUUGCUGGAGCACUCUUACAGUGUUGCCGGAUUUGUGUUUGUCUUUUUGUUUUUGGUGGGACUAAUAUGCCCAGCCUUUUUGUCAGUCACUACUUUAGUGCAUUUUGCAUGUCACUGAAAUAUAAGCAAUGAAACUAUGGCAAACAUCUUGCUGGAUCGGAUUUUGUUGUUGUACACGUCAUUGUGUGUUUCUUCUGCAAAGGUCGAAUCUUUUAGCGAUUCUGCAUUGUCCUAAUCACUUGAUAAGAACGGCGUGUUGGUACACAAAUACUUGAGUAAUAUCCACGCGCAUUAUAAUAUACACGCAGUUUAACUUUUAGAUUUGAUGUCUGUAUUUUUCAUUGAAUAAUUGAACCCGUUAAACUGUUAUUUUUGAACAAGCUUAAUUGUGACGCUGGCCACGUUACAAUUACGCUAUACGUCGAUGGGACUUUAAGGCCCAACGUUUGGUGCGGUUAUGUCAUAGUUAUAGACUGAGUUACGUUACUGUUGGGUUGUUGCGUAGACGUCGCCGCCAGUGGUGCUACGCCAGUUUUAGGCCACAAUUAGUGCGGUUCGUAAUAACCUGACGCGGUUUCGUAACGGUCGAAGCCGUGCUUAACGUCCGAACGAUAUUAUAUUGCGUGAAGAUACGACAAGAGUAUCGCGGUACCAACAUGGCGAAUUACCUUUUGAUUGGGACAUGCGGAGAUGUUAUUAGCUUCGACUCUUUGUUGUCGGACAUUUAAUAAUUUGUACACUGCAGCUGAUUAUCCUACAGGAUUUGAACCAAGUUUUCUUUGAAGAUGUUUCAAUGAUUAUGUCCGCGUUAAUUAACUUUUGGUACCCGUUCCAUUUUUGGUUAUGAUUGAGCUGUUGUAUGUAUUGCAUGUUUCACUUUUUGUAAUUGCACCUCGUUGUAUGAUUGUUUUGUCUUUUUUUUUCGUGCACAUGUGCGUGUGCAUUCGUUGUAUCAUUUUUGUCUAGGGGGGUACUUUAACCUGCGUGGACAGUAACAUCCCGCAAGGGUUUCUCACCUAAGUAGAAACCCACUACCAUUGGCUGGGGGCUUGUCGUGCCGUAGUGGCUUUAUACCAACGCCAGCCACAUAAAUUAUGAAGGUAUUUUAAUCCUAUUUUAAUUUUUCAGAAGGCAAUUAUUUCCUAAAGAGCAUUAGCGACCGUUGUUUUAAUUUGCACUGCUAUUAUAAUGAUAUUCUCGUUAAAUUUGAACGCAUUAAAACAAAAAACAUGAAUCGCA